rnacentral:lncRNA from 1 species
CGGUCCUAUCCAACCUCUGGCUGAGAUCUCACCGCUUGCCUUCCUCGAUUCCCCUCUGCUCUCUCCUCUCGCUUCCAAGACCCCCGUCAGCCAGCGCUCCCUUCCCCAGCGCUCCCUCUCUCUACACCCGCAAGCGUGCUCUGCCUCCCCGCUCGCUGGGCUCUCUCCCCUCUCCAGCUCGACCUCGCCUCCAAGCCGAGCGCCUCAGGCUGCAGCUCGUCAGCCAUGCUCUCCGACUGCUGUGCCUUCCCUCCCGGCCAGCAGCCGGGUCUCCAUCUCCGGCCGCGACGCACACGGCCACGCGCGAGCUGGAGUAGUAGGGAGGUUGCACCGUGAUAUUCGAAUCCGCCGCCUUCCUGCCUCUCCUGCCGACGGGAGGAGGACGCCGGAGAGGAGAGCCCGUUUGUCCUGGGCGGGCGAGGGCGCGGGAUGGCGGGCGCGACCUGGCACGGCGGGGCAUGGAGGCGGGCGAGGCCGGGCAUGGAGGCGGUCGAGGGCGCGGUCGGCGGUGGCGCGAGCGGAGCUGGGCGGGCGAGGGCGCGGGAUGGCGGGCGUGACCUGGCACGGCGGCAGGCACAACCUGGUAGGGCGGCGGGCGCGCGCCGCCGGGAAAGGAUGGGCAGGGCGACGACAGCGGCCUCGGACUGGAGCGAGGAAUUGUACCAGCCAGCGAUUUUAUUUUUUACUUGAUUCCUGUAGUACUGCAGGUUGAUUUCAGCAAACCGCGGUUCUUUUUUUUUGCAAAAAAGCGUGACGGACGACAGAAACCUAAUUUGCUUUAUUAUAUCUAUAUAAUAUAAUAUAUA